CCUGGUUGAUCCUGCCAGUAGUGAUAUGCUUGUCUCAAAGAUUAAGCCAUGCAUGUCUGAGUACAGACCGAUCUAAGGUGAAACCGCGAAUGGCUCAUUAAAUCAGUCAUAAUUCCUUGGAUAGUGAAAAACUUCCUCGGAUAACUGUGGAAAAUCCAGAGCUAAUACGUGCAACUGAGCUCCGACCUAGGCGUGAGCGCGGGAAGAGCGCAUUUAUUAGAUUCAAAACUGACCGGCGUAGUCCUUCGGGAUGCGCCGUUUGUCGAAAGUUUGAUGACUCCGGAUAACUUAGCCGAGCGCUACGGUCUUCGUGCCGGCGCCGUAUCUUUCAAGUGUCUGCCUUAUCAGCUUUCGAUUGUAGGUUAAACGCCUACAAUGGCUGUAACGGGUAACGGGGAAUCAGGGUUCGAUUCCGGAGAGGGAGCCUGAGAAACGGCUACCACAUCUAAGGAAGGCAGCAGGCACGCAAAUUACCCACUCCCAGCUCGGGGAGGUAGUGACGAAAAAUAACGAUGCGAGACUCUUCCGAGGCCUCGCAAUCGGAAUGAGUCCAUUUUAAAUCCUUGGACGAGGAUCCAUUGGAGGGCAAGUCUGGUGCCAGCAGCCGCGGUAAUUCCAGCUCCAAUAGCGUAUAUUAAAGUUGCUGCGGUUAAAAAGCUCGUAGUUGGACUUCCUAGAUCCAUUUCGCGAGCGAGUCGCUUGUUGAUCUAACGUCUCGUGUCGGUCGCUGGACGAAGUCUCGUUUGUGGCGUUGUGUUUGAGUAUCUUUCUUUCGGGAUCGAGCUCUGCUSCGUUUACUUUCGAGCGCCGAGUCUAGAGGACGGCUUGGCGUUGUCUUCGAGUAUUGCUCGUUCGCGUUUGGUACAAUUAAAAUUUUGUCGGCUCGCUCGGAGUGCUCUUUACCGAGUGUUCCAGGGUGGCCGACACGUUCACUUUGAAAAAAUUAGAGUGCUUAAAGCGGGCUUAUACGUGGCCUGAAUGUCUGUGCAUGGAAUGAAGUAACAGGACCUCGAUUCUGUUUUUUUUGUCGGUUUUAUUGAACCGAGGUAAUGAUUAAAAGGGACAGACGGUGGCAUUAGUAUUGCGGCGCUAGAGGUGAAAUUCUUGGACCGCUGCAAGACUAACUACUGCGAAAGCAUUUGCCGAGAAUGUUUUCAUUAAUCAAGAACGAAAGUUAGAGGAUCGAAGGCGAUCAGAUACCGCCCUAGUUCUAACCCUAAACUAUGCUAACUAGCGAUCCGCCGAGUCAUUCCCACGACCCGGCGGAAGCCCCAGGGAACCAAAGUCUUUGAGUUCCGGGGGAAGUAUGGUUGCAAAGCUGAAACUUAAAGGAAUUGACGGAAGGGCACCACCAGGAGUGGAGCCUGCGGCUUAAUUUGACUCAACACGGGAAACCUCACCAGGCCCGGACAUCAUAAGGAUUGACAGGUUGAGAGCUCUUUCUCGAUUUGAUGGGUGGUGGUGCAUGGCCGUUCUUAGUUGGUGGAGUGAUCUGUCUGGUUGAUUCCGAUAACGAACGAGACUCUACCCUACUAACUAGUCGGCGGAUCGUAACCCUGAGAUGGUUAGUUUGUAUAGGGCGGCUCGCCUAGACGUUGUCGUCGGCUCUUUUCGCGGGUUUAUCGCGCGCGUAGGGUUUCCCGGAAGAGUAUCCUUCGUGGUAUUUCUCGAGGGUUUCUCCUUGCACGCGUUCUCUCGCGGGGGGUCCGACUUCGUCGAAGCUUCCGUCUGAUUACUGCUACUGCUGGGGGCGUCCGUCGCAUUGUAUCUUCUUAGAGGGAUCAGCGGCGUAUAGCCGCACGAGAAAGAGCAAUAACAGGUCUGUGAUGCCCUUAGAUGUUCUGGGCCGCACGCGCGCUACAAUGUAGAGACCAGCGUGCUUUCCCUCUCCGAAAGGAGCGGGUAACCCGUUGAAACCCCUACCCGAUUGGGAUUGGGGAUUGCAAAUAUUUCCCAUAAACGAGGAAUUCCCAGUAAGCGCGAAUCAUUAAUUCGCGCUGAUUACGUCCCUGCCCUUUGUACACACCGCCCGUCGCUACUACCGAUUGAAUGAUUCAGUGAGGGCAUCGGACUGGCGCCUUCGGUUUAGUAACAUAGACCUUAGGCUGACGGAAAGAUGUCCGAACUUGAUCAUUUAGAGGAAGUAAAAGUCGUAACAAGGUUUCCGUAGUGAA
rnacentral:rRNA from 1 species